rnacentral:lncRNA from 1 species
AGUGUGUGCUGAGAGACGAGCAAGGUGACUCUGGAGGAGCCUUAUCUUGGCUGCAGAAAGCAAGAUUUCUCUGAAUGAUGGCAGGGGGCUGGCUCUUCUCCGUCUCAGGCCAACCUCACCGAUGCCUGCAAGGUUUCCAGCUGUCAUACCUCACUGUGUGAGGGGCUUUCGGUAUAAAUUCCCAAAUGGGGCUCAUCCCCUUUUCCUUGCCCAAGUCUGGCCUGCAGGUUUUAGCUUCUCUGAGGAAUCUCUUGAAUUCUGGCCUGGGACCCAGUGUUGAACUAGAGCCCAGCUGCCCCCUUUGGCCUCUGCCCAUUGUCUCUUUUGGCCUUAGGUAUCGCCCAUUGUGGUUGAGACUGCUGUCAGCCUACUCCCCUCCCGCCCCAAUGUGCUUGCUGUCCCCUUGGCUCUCACAGGCAGUCUCUCUCUUCUGCACAUGAGAACUUGAAGCUGAGAGGGCCGUCACUAGUCAGUGCCCUCAGAUCACGUGUAGUGUUGCCAUGAUGGAUAAGAGUCCUCACUGCUCUCGGGACUUGCCUUUCACAUGCUACUGAAGCUUCUGCUGGUGUCCCUGUCCAUUUCCCAUCUGGUGGGGUAGAUAACGCUUUCCUCUCUAGUGUCAGCUGAAAUACAGGCAGUAUGAUGUGGUGGGGAUCAGAGUUUCCUGACCAUUAUUCUGGGUCCCACCCAAGAUUGCUGGCAGCCAAUGGUGCUAGUCACCAAAGGAUGCCCUUGUUUGACUCUAGAUUCUGGACAAUGGUCUUGGGCCUCUGAUUGGGGUGAGUCCAGGCUAGAGAAAACAAACGUGGCCUAGGUUGGCUCUGGAUGAGGUAUCUGGGAGAUCACCUGCAGGUGUCCGUACCGGGUGAUGUGACACACCUCAGGCAGGAGGAGCAGAGCCCCACUGCCAGUAGGGAACAAAGGCUCAGGGUCUAGUGUUUUCGGCACCUGAUAGACAGCAAGAGUUAGGAAGUGGACAAAGAGAGGAGCAAAGGGCAGGAGUUAACCGCUUUUGCUUUUUCCUGUCUGUAAAAUUCAAGGACUGUGACUUAUGUGGGUAAGAUGGUUUGGAGCAGGACCAGGCUGACAUUUACAAAACCCUUGCCCUAAUUUAUCAUUGUUUGGGGUGUGUUUUGGAAAGAACCUUUUGCAGGUGAUUUAUAUUCAAAACACAUUAUUUACUUAACAGGUUGUAUGAAUUCACCUCUUCCACACUAUUGAAAAAGGACUGCUUGAUGCUGCCUGAAAA